CUAGUACUUUCUUCGUUCGAAAAUAUUUGUCAUCAAAAUAGAUAAGAAGAGAUGUAUCUAUAACUAAAAUAUGUCUAGAUACACCCCUUUUUAUUUAUUUUGGUGACAAGUAUUUUUGGACGAAGGGAGUACGUA
rfam:Triticum aestivum genome assembly, contig: Triticum_aestivum_CS42_TGACv1_scaffold_000014_1AL